rnacentral:rRNA from 1 species
ACGCUGGCGGCGUGCCUAAUACAUGCAAGUAGAACGCUGAAGAGAGGAGCUUGCUCUUCUUGGAUGAGUCGCGAACGGGUGAGUAACGCGUAGGUAACCUGCCUGGUAGCGGGGGAUAACUAUUGGAAACGAUAGCUAAUACCGCAUAAAAUGGAUUGUCGCAUGAUAAUCCAUUGAAAGGUGCAAAUGCAUCACUACCAGAUGGACCUGCGUUGUAUUAGCUAGUUGGUGGGGUAACGGCUCACCAAGGCGACGAUACAUAGCCGACCUGAGAGGGUGAUCGGCCACACUGGGACUGAGACACGGCCCAGACCCCUACGGGAGGCAGCAGUAGGGAAUCUUCGGCAAUGGACAGAAGUCUGACCGAGCAACGCCGCGUGAGUGAAGAAGGUUUUCGGAUCGUAAAGCUCUGUUGUAAGAGAAGAACGAGUGUGAGAGUGGAAAGUUCACACUGUGACGGUAUCUUACCAGAAAGGGACGGCUAACUAUGUGCCAGCAGCCGCGGUAAUACGUAGGUCCCGAGCGUUGUCCGGAUUUAUUGGGCGUAAAGCGAGCGCAGGCGGUUAGAUAAGUCUGAAGUUAAAGGCUGUGGCUUAACCAUAGUACGCUUUGGAAACUGUUUAACUUGAGUGCAAGAGGGGAGAGUGGAAUUCCAUGUGUAGCGGUGAAAUGCGUAGAUAUAUGGAGGAACACCGGUGGCGAAAGCGGCUCUCUGGCUUGUAACUGACGCUGAGGCUCGAAAGCGUGGGGAGCAAACAGGAUUAGAUACCCUGGUAGUCCACGCCGUAAACGAUGAGUGCUAGGUGUUAGACCCUUUCCGGGGUUUAGUGCCGCAGCUAACGCAUUAAGCACUCCGCCUGGGGAGUACGACCGCAAGGUUGAAACUCAAAGGAAUUGACGGGGGCCCGCACAAGCGGUG